GCGACUCCAAUAGACCGUUAUUAAUUGUUUAAAACACGGAUGUUUGGAUAUAUUGUGCUAAAUGUGUCCCAUCUUACCCCAAUAUUAUAGAUUACAUCUUGAACUUUUUAUUACUGUAACGUAGCAUUACACGCAACAACUUACCUACCCAAAAUAAAUAAAUAAACAGUCCUUCCUUCCGCCCAUUGGCUUUUAGCAACUAAAUUACUGUUUUUCUCCGUCCCUCCAUUUAGUUUUAUACCUCGCCCCCACGCUUUUGGCUGAUUACCUGCUAAAACGCCUUCUUCCCAGCGCGGCGUUUUUGCAACAGCGUUCAGUUAGACGAAGCAAUGCUUACAGACCAGUGUAUAAAACUAGAUGAAGUUGUAGUUCUGUGCAAGGUUUGGGAUUGUAUUUGUGCAUAUUAGGAGGCUUUCAGUGGAGUUUUAUUUAUCUAGUAGGCUGUUGUAUCGUUAUAUGCAAAAGUUGACGAUGAAGAAUUAAAAAUGUUUAACACACCUACGUACACUACUGGGUACCAAACCAAAGUCAGUAAAAUAUACAA